CCCUGGGUGUCAAGAGGUCUUGAAUGGUCAUGGUGAUUUCAAUCUCAAUAAUAUAUGGUUUGAGAAGUUUGGGUAAAAAGAUGAAUAUUGAUUUUUGGACUCAAAUUGCAACAAGUAAUGAUCCUCCAACUAUUGUACCAUUCUUGCAAAAAAAAUUAUAAAAUUAAUGACUACAAUUAUGUGAAGUGAUGUGCGAAAAGAAAUAAUAAUAA
rnacentral:lncRNA from 1 species